rnacentral:piRNA from 1 species
UACUAUGAUUGGUACAAUCUUCUCGAAGUA